rnacentral:lncRNA from 1 species
AGACUUUUCAAAACUAGAGCUAGAGGUUCUCUACUUAUCCCAGAAAAUCGAUUCACUUAAGCACAAAGAGUCUAUCCUUUUUAUUUUUCAUUUCUCCCAAAUCAUGAUCACAACACUCACCCUCCCACCUAUAGCUAGACAAAAGAGUGUCCAAUCUAGCAAAAAUGAAGAUCAAGCAUUGUCGUUCCCGAUACUCUCAACAUUAUGCGCAUGUAAGACUUUCCGAAGAAGGCCUCACUC